CAAAAUGGAGUCUCCUAUGUCUACUUCUUUCUACCAGACACAGUAACAAUCUGAUCUCUCUUUCUUUUCCCCACAUUUCCCCCUUUUCUUUUCGACAAAAGCGCCAUCGUCAUCAUGGCCCGUUCUCGAUGGUCGCUGUCUCUUCGGAGCUGUUGGGUACACCUCCCAGAUGAGAUGGCCGGGCAGAGGCGCUUCUCACUUCCCAGAUGGGGCAG
rnacentral:lncRNA from 1 species